rnacentral:misc_RNA from 1 species
AACGCAGCUUGCGCUCUUUGGUAUUCCAAAGAGCAUGCCUUUUUGAGUGUCGUUAAUCUUCUUCAAUUGCGUUUUUGCACACACAAAAACGCAUGCGAGUCCUUGGGUUUGAUUGACAUGCCCUGUCAAUCUUACCUUAAAUGUAUGAGCUGGAGAUCAGUCAGGUUGCUAAGGCAUUUUAAACCUGCGUAAACGGUCUCUGCUUUUUAAAUUAAACUAUUAACUACUGGCCUCAAAUAAGGUAGGACUACCCGCUGAACUUAA